rnacentral:rRNA from 1 species
AUUGAACGCUGGCGGCAUGCUUUACACAUGCAAGUCGAACGGCAGCGCGGGCUUCGGCCUGGCGGCGAGUGGCGAACGGGUGAGUAAUACAUCGGAACGUGCCCAGUAGUGGGGGAUAGCUCGGCGAAAGCCGGAUUAAUACCGCAUACGACCUGAGGGUGAAAGCGGGGGAUCUUCGGACCUCGCGCUCUUGUAGCGGCCGAUGGCAGAUUAGCUAGUUGGUGGGGUAAAGGCCUACCAAGGCGACGAUCUGUAGCUGGUCUGAGAGGACGACCAGCCACACUGGGACUGAGACACGGCCCAGACUCCUACGGGAGGCAGCAGUGGGGAAUUUUGGACAAUGGGCGAAAGCCUGAUCCAGCAAUGCCGCGUGUGUGAUGAAGGCCUUCGGGUUGUAAAGCACUUUUGGCGGGAACGAAAAGGACUGUGCCAAUACCACGGUUCGAUGACGGUACCCGCAGAAUAAGCACCGGCUAACUACGUG